AUGUGCCCUUUUGAAGUUGUGUAUGGUUUCCUACCUCGUGCACCUAUUGAUUUGUUGCCUCUUCCAUCUUCGGAGAAGGUUAAUUUUGAUGCUAAACAACGUGUUGAACUGAUUUUAAAAAUGCAUGAGUUAACUAAGGAAAACAUUGAGCGCAUGAAUGCUAAAUAUAAACUUGCUGGAGAUAAGGGUAGAAAACAUGUUGUGUUUGCACCUGGAGAUCUUUUUUGGUUACAUUUGCGUAAGGAUAGAUUUCCUGAUUUGCGCAAAUCAAAGUUAAUGCCACGUGCUGAUGGUCCCUUUAAGGUGUUAGAGAAAAUAAAUGAUAAUGCAUAUAAACUUGAGCUGCCUGCAGAUUUUGGGGUUAGUCCCACUUUUAACAUUGCAGAUUUGAAGCCUUAUUUGGGUGAGGAAGAUGAACUUCCGUCGAGGACGACUUCAUUUCAAGAAGGGGAGGAUGAUGAGGACAUCAAUACAAUUGUUACACCCACAGCCCCUGCUGCUAUACAUACUGGACCAAUUACUAGAGCUCGUGCACGCCAACUAAAUUACCAGGAAACAGACCCUCGUGGUCAGGUUGAUCGUGCUCCGGCGUGGUCAAUAACCUCUCGGAGUUGGUUUAGCGAUUGCUAA
rnacentral:rRNA from 1 species